rnacentral:rRNA from 1 species
UACAGAGGGUGCGAGCGUUGUCCGGAAUCACUGGGCGUAAAGGGCGCGUAGGCGGGUGCUCAAGUCCGGGGUGAAAUCCUCCAGCUCAACUGGAGAACUGCCUCGGAUACUGGGCGUCUCGAGUGUGGUAGGGGUGUGCGGAACUAUCGGUGGAGCGGUGAAAUGCGUAGAUAUCAGGAGGAACACCUGUGGCGAAAGCGGCUCACUGGACCAUUACUGACGCUGAUGCGCGAAAGCUAGGGGAGCAAACAGG